UUCAUUUCUUGGUAUGUUCCUUUCCUCUAUUUUUUCUUAUUUCUCUCUAUUCUGGGCUACCUCACAUACAUGAUAUUUGCUUUAUGUUCUCUCUUUGUUCAUUUGUGAGUACAGGUUUGGAGUUGCAAUAUUUGCUACUUCUUAUUAAUUCUCUGUGCAUGAAGAUUAUACAUCUGAGAAUCAAUUCAUGUGUAAGGAGCCUUAUGUAUAAAGAGAAAUUGUUUAAUUUUCAGAGCCAGAACAAUGAGCAGCCUAAUCAGGAGAAAGAGUUAAAUUUCAAGUUUUUCCAAUUCUCAAGCCCUUGGGGUGCAUUCCACAUUCUUUUCAGACCCUUUAAGUUUUGGAUCUAUUUUUUUGAAAAAAAAAUUUAGCGUCUGUUUUUGUUUCUGUAAUGAUGACAGUCAGUUACUGAUUUUGAUACUUUAUCUGUAUUGAGCAAUUCUUCUUGGGUAAAUACUUCAGCUUUAGUAAUGAGAUACAAAUUUUUUAAAAUAGUUCACCUCUAGAUUUAAUUUCUGUAACUGACUUGGCUUUCUUAUAAUUUUGCUUAUAUGAUACAAAUUACAACUGAAUUUACCUAUGAUUUUCUCACUCUGGAUUAACGUUGCUUGGUUUUUUUAUAUAUAUAUGUAUUUGGUACAUGGUUUAGGUUAUUUCGGGAGAAUAUUUGGGAGCAGCGGAUGAUUGUGAAUAUAUUGGAGAUCAUGAACAGCAUGACUAUGAGAUAUGCACUUGUUCAGUAUCAUUUCGAAUCAAGAAAUGACAAGACAGUCGAUCCAGGUACCUUCCAUUUCAUUGUUUCAGGAAAUUGCAUUACAUUUGGUUUAGUUACAUAAAAAUUAGAUCAUAACCGUGAAAGACAAAACAAAUUCCAAGUAUUGUUUUGAGGUGAUAUCACUUUAAAAACUAGCUAUCAAGUACAAAUUAUUUCUUAGAAGAUGUUUUUCAACAAGCAUUGCUGAAAAAUUUCCAAGAAACUAUUCAAAUACUAUUAAGGUUUACUGGAUAAAAGUGAUAAUCGUUAUAACUGAUAGUGCAUGCAUGACAAGAUGUUUUAAAUUCUUGAAAAGGAAGAGAGAUGAAAAUAAUAGUUUUUGGUUCCAUAUAUAUAGCUGUUCUCACGCCACGAAAUGAGCUCGAUGUUUCAACCCCGCAGGAGCAUUAUUGUAAACUUUAUCAUCUAUAGUUUUUCAAUAUUUCAUUUGGAUAACAACAGAUAAAUUUAAGGUCAAAAGAGUUCUUUAUUAUUAAUUGAUAUCAAAUUAAUACUUGCACAUCUAUUAGUAAUGUUGCAGAUCAACAAAAUAUAACAAGUUUGGUUUUUGGACAUAUUUCAGUACAUGAGCAAAUUAAAUAUAUGACCAUUACGAAGACUUUUAUAUAUAUACAUCAUUGUGCAUGUAUAAUAGGAUAUUUUUAUCUAUAGUAUAAUAUAUGCAAAAGACAGAAGUCCAAAUAUUUGAAGUUAGAUUCUUCUUUACUCAAAUAGAUUGAAUGACUUGGUAACAUGUGUACUAAUUAAUUACUCUCCCUGUUUGGCUUAUACGGACGAAGUUGAAAAGCUAGAAGCUGGAAAAUAUUUGAAGGUUUAUCAUAUCAAGAUUUGCCAAAACAAUAGAUAAUUUUGAUUCCGUUAUCAUUUUUCUGCAUCUUAAAUAUUGACAAGAACAAAUCACACCAAAUUAUUAUUUUAGAAUUCAUCAAAUUCUCCUUGUGAUAGCAAACCAGGGCAGCUAGGAUUACAAUAUGCAACAAGCACCUAUAGUGCUCAAAAGUCCUUCAGUAAAUUUGUUCUCUUGCGAUCAACGGUUGGCAUUCAGUAAAAUCAUGAGUACGAAUGCAGAAAAGGAGAAGUCUACUCCACGGUGGAGCUUAAUUUAAUUUGUUUGCUCUCUAAAGUUAUGUAUUUUUUAUACAAAUUGUACUAGCCAGGGGGAUCCACCAACUUUUUGAAAAAAUAAGUGGGAAUUUUGAGAUCUUUGUAAAAAUCUGUAGGAAAUCAAGAGAGACACCGACUACUUUGGUCUGUGCAUUUUAAUAUGUGCAACAUGCGUAACUUCUAAAGAUUUGCUUAAGUAUUGUAAAACUCAAGUUUGUA